rnacentral:rRNA from 1 species
AUGAACGCUAGCUACAGGCUUAACACAUGCAAGUCGAGGGGCAGCAUGAACUUAGCUUGCUAAGUUUGAUGGCGACCGGCGCACGGGUGAGUAACACGUAUCCAACCUGCCGAUGACUCGGGGAUAGCCUUUCGAAAGAAAGAUUAAUACCCGAUGGCAUAGUUCUUCCGCAUGGUAGAACUAUUAAAGAAUUUCGGUCAUCGAUGGGGAUGCGUUCCAUUAGGUUGUUGGCGGGGUAACGGCCCACCAAGCCUUCGAUGGAUAGGGGUUCUGAGAGGAAGGUCCCCCACAUUGGAACUGAGACACGGUCCAAACUCCUACGGGAGGCAGCAGUGAGGAAUAUUGGUCAAUGGACGAGAGUCUGAACCAGCCAAGUAGCGUGAAGGAUGACUGCCCUAUGGGUUGUAAACUUCUUUUAUACGGGAAUAAAGUGAGGCACGUGUGCCUUUUUGUAUGUACCGUAUGAAUAAGGAUCGGCUAACUCCGUGCCAGCAGCCGCGGUAAUACGGAGGAUCCGAGCGUUAUCCGGAUUUAUUGGGUUUAAAGGGAGCGUAGGCGGACGCUUAAGUCAGUUGUGAAAGUUUGCGGCUCAACCGUAAAAUUGCAGUUGAUACUGGGUGUCUUGAGUACAGUAGAGGCAGGCGGAAUUCGUGGUGUAGCGGUGAAAUGCUUAGAUAUCACGAAGAACUCCGAUUGCGAAGGCAGCCUGCUGGACUGUAACUGACGCUGAUGCUCGAAAGUGUGGGUAUCAAACAGGAUUAGAUACCCUGGUAGUCCACACAGUAAACGAUGAAUACUCGCUGUUUGCGAUAUACAGUAAGCGGCCAAGCGAAAGCGUUAAGUAUUCCACCUGGGGAGUACGCCGGCAACGGUGAAACUCAAAGGAAUUGACGGGGGCCCGCACAAGCAGUGGAGUAUGUGGUUUAAUUCGAAGCAACGCGAAGAACCUUACCAAGUCUUGACAUCCUGCGACGAUGCUAGAAAUAGUAUUUUCCUUCGGGACGCAGAGACAGGUGGUGCAUGGUUGUCGUCAGCUCGUGUCGUGAGAUGUUGGGUUAAGUCCCGCAACGAGCGCAACCCUUAUUGCCAGUUACUACGCAAGAGGACUCUGGCGAGACUGCCGUUGACAAAACGGAGGAAGGUGGGGAUGACGUCAAAUCAUCAUGCCCUAUAUGUCCUGGGCUACACACGUACUACAAUGGCUAUAACAAAGGGAAGCGAUACCGCGAGGUGGAGCAAAACCCAAAAAAGUAGUCUCAGUUCGGAUUGAAGGCUGAAAUUCGCCUUCAUGAAGCCGGAAUUGCUAGUAAUGGCAGGUCAGCAUACUGCCGUGAAUACGUUCCCGGGCCUUGUACACACCGCCCGUCACACCAUGAGAGUUGGGAAUACCCGAAGCCUGUGAGCUAACUGUAAAGAGGCAGCAGUCGAAGGUAGAAUCAAUGAUUGGGGUG